CAUGGUAUUUAUUAGUUCAAAGCAUUCAACAUACAAGCAGCUAGAAGGAAACUGUAUGACAUGCCGAGAAGGUCAAUAAUUACACCAAUGCUCUUAGAUCAAGGCCUCGAACGCAUCUACUCGCUUGUGAACAAUGUUUACAUGCUGCUGCAUAAAUAACUGAUCUGACAAUGAGUUAAAAACCUUAACAUGUCAACUUCAAGGUCAUCUAAAUUCUACAGUCUCAUAGUUAAUCAAUCUAACUGGGGCAAGGAGAGACCCAAAACAGUUUAGUAUUACAGUAGGAAUCAGUGUGAAGCAAACUUUUUCGACAGCGACAGGAUGGCCUAAAAAUUUAAGAGAAAAUUUUACCAAAUGAGCAAAUGUGUCGCAAUCAACCAUGAUCAAAGACAAUCAGACCUAAUUUCACCGUAUCCGAAUAAGUAAACAUAAAGUACACGCACAUAAACAUACUCAUACACAAACACGCGUAUACAUACAGAAUGGUACACAAUGUCAUGUCUGUAAUCUUGCAAUCAAGGGGCAAUUCCAU
rnacentral:lncRNA from 1 species